CUCUGAAUCGAUAUGGAGCACAAUGGAACGAUAUAGAGCUUAGCAUGGCCCCUGCACAAGGACGACACACAAAUUCAUGAAGCAUUCCAUAUGGAA
rnacentral:snRNA from 1 species